UUAGAAUCGGGUGGAAGCAGCACAGCACUCUGCUCUGGGAUUGGUGGGUGUUUACAAAAUUCUGAUACCAUCGUCCACCCUACGUACACACUGGGGCCAGACUUCAGACAGGCAAGAGGCACUGACAGCGAGGCAGACAGAGAAAUGGCAGACAGAGAAAAUGACACAUAUUUUCAGAUUCAGUAUACCUUGAUGGUUACAACCUGCAGUCAGGCCUCCUCAUCCACUCUGGAUGGGACCACAGAUGAGGAGGAAGACUGGGCAUAGAAACCUGAACUACAGCUCAGCUUAGAGGACCCUCAGAGAUCUCCAAGGAAGGACCCAUGUCUCAAGACUCAAGACUCCCAGCCCUCUUUUGUAAGGCCAGAGGAUAUUGCCAUUUGAUUCGGAUGCCAAGGAAUUCACAUGUGAAAGAGAACCACUGGAGCCAGAGACUAUGACAGCAGAUGAGGUUUUGACCCCUUAUCCCCAGCAAUGAGCCUGUCUUCUUCCACUGAACAGAAAAAGCAUCCAAAUACAGCAUGGAGUGGGG